rnacentral:misc_RNA from 1 species
GAUGAAGAACGUAGCGAAAUGCGAUAAGUAAUGUGAAUUGCAGAAUUCAGUGAAUCAUCGAAUCUUUGAACGCACAUUGCGCCCGCUAGUAUUCUGGCGGGCAUGCCUGUCCGAGCGUCAUUUCAACCCUCAAGCCCCCGGGCUUGGUGUUGGGGAUCGGCGAGCCUCCGCGCCCGCCGUCCCCUAAAUCUAGUGGCGGUCUAGCUGUAGCUUCCUCUGCGUAGUAGCACACCUCGCACUGGGAAACAGCGCGGCCACGCCGUUAAACCCCCAACUUCUGAACGUUUGACCUCGGAUCAGGUAGGAAUACCCGCUGAACUUAAGCAUAUCAAUAAGCGGAGGA